CCAAGAUCCCGCAAGCCGCGCGGCGCAGCCUAAAUAAAGUCCAUUUGGGAAGUGCUCUACACGGCACAUUCUGUUCCGUGACGUCUGAGAACCACACUUGUCACUGCUCCCGCGCAGGGCCCACUUUGGUCUGAGUCAACGGGAUUGGGUCCAGGUCGAGAACACUGGAUCCACCUCGUCCUGAAGGCUCAACCAAACACGUUUCUCACAUGACCUUGGUACCUCCCAACAGUGCCUCAAUUUACCAACCUUUCAUUUCCCCUGCAUUUUGGGCUUAACAGACCAACCAAAAUGGACUUUGUCAUUUGCUCUACUUAGUGAGUUAAAUACAUUCCAGGUUCUGAGCAAAUACGCAUAACGUACUUUCCCUCAUAAGCAAGAUUCCUUUGGGAUGAAGCACUGCAACAACGUGGCUGGGUCUCUGAGUCAUCACGCCGAGUGAAGCAAGCCAGACCAAAAAGGGACGUGCUGCCUGACCCAUCCGCGUCAAUUCCAGAAGGUGCAAAGGACCCACUGUGGCAGGAAGUGGGCAAGUGGGGUCGUGUUCAUGACCUUCACAGGGCGCUGCUCCCACGGGGUCUCGAGACUCAUCCAGUUGUAUACGUCACAGGUGAAUUGGUAACAUUACUGGAAAUAUUUUUAUGACCUGAAGGAAAUGUUAUUUUUUCAAACUUUCAACCAUCAAAUACUUCAUGGGAAAUUAACGCGUGUUGCAAACAUUAAAACAAUUCAUUAAAUAGG